rnacentral:rRNA from 1 species
UUACCGAGUUUACAACUCCCAAACCCAAUGUGAACGUUACCAAACUGUUGCCUCGGCGGGAUCUCUGCCCCGGGUGCGUCGCAGCCCCGGACCAAGGCGCCCGCCGGAGGACCAACCAAAACUCUUAUUGUAUACCCCCUCGCGGGUUUUUUUAUAAUCUGAGCCUUCUCGGCGCCUCUCGUAGGCGUUUCGAAAAUGAAUCAAAACUUUCAACAACGGAUCUCUUGGUUCUGGCAUCGAUGAAGAACGCAGCGAAAUGCGAUAAGUAAUGUGAAUUGCAGAAUUCAGUGAAUCAUCGAAUCUUUGAACGCACAUUGCGCCCGCCAGUAUUCUGGCGGGCAUGCCUGUCCGAGCGUCAUUUCAACCCUCGAACCCCUCCGGGGGGUCGGCGUUGGGGAUCGGCCCUGCCUCUUGGCGGCGGCCGUCUCCGAAAUACAGUGGCGGUCUCGCCGCAGCCUCUCCUGCGCAGUAGUUUGCACACUCGCAUCGGGAGCGCGGCGCGUCCACAGCCGUUAAACACCCAACUUCUGAAAUGUUGACCUCGGAUCAGGUAGGAAUACCCGCUGAACUUAAGCAUAU